rnacentral:rRNA from 1 species
UGCUGGGUGGAUCAGUGGCGAACGGGUGAGUAACACGUGAGCAACCUGCCCCUGACUCUGGGAUAAGCGCUGGAAACGGCGUCUAAUACUGGAUACGAACCACAGUCGCAUGGCUGGUGGUUGGAAAGAUUUUUUGGUUGGGGAUGGGCUCGCGGCCUAUCAGCUUGUUGGUGAGGUAAUGGCUCACCAAGGCGUCGACGGGUAGCCGGCCUGAGAGGGUGACCGGCCACACUGGGACUGAGACACGGCCCAGACUCCUACGGGAGGCAGCAGUGGGGAAUAUUGCACAAUGGGCGCAAGCCUGAUGCAGCAACGCCGCGUGAGGGAUGACGGCCUUCGGGUUGUAAACCUCUUUUAGCAAGGAAGAAGCGAAAGUGACGGUACUUGCAGAAAAAGCGCCGGCUAACUACGUGCCAGCAGCCGCGGUAAUACGUAGGGCGCAAGCGUUAUCCGGAAUUAUUGGGCGUAAAGAGCUCGUAGGCGGUUUGUCGCGUCUGCUGUGAAAUCCCGAGGCUCAACCUCGGGCCUGCAGUGGGUACGGGCAGACUAGAGUGCGGUAGGGGAGAUUGGAAUUCCUGGUGUAGCGGUGGAAUGCGCAGAUAUCAGGAGGAACACCGAUGGCGAAGGCAGAUCUCUGGGCCGUAACUGACGCUGAGGAGCGAAAGGGUGGGGAGCAAACAGGCUUAGAUACCCUGGUAGUCCACCCCGUAAACGUUGGGAACUAGUUGUGGGGUCCUUUCCACGGAUUCCGUGACGCAGCUAACGCAUUAAGUUCCCCGCCUGGGGAGUACGGCCGCAAGGCUAAAACUCAAAGGAAUUGACGGGGACCCGCACAAGCGGCGGAGCAUGCGGAUUAAUUCGAUGCAACGCGAAGAACCUUACCAAGGCUUGACAUACACGAGAACACCCUAGAAAUAGGGGACUCUUUGGACACUCGUGAACAGGUGGUGCAUGGUUGUCGUCAGCUCGUGUCGUGAGAUGUUUGGGUUAAGUCCCGCAACGAGCGCAACCCUCGUUCUAUGUUGCCAGCACGUAAU